rnacentral:rRNA from 1 species
UACAGAGGUCUCAAGCGUUGUCCGGAUUCAUUGGGCGUAAAGAGCUCGUAGGCGGUUCGAUAAGUCGGGUGUGAAACCUCCAGGCUCAACCUGGAGACGCCACCCGAUACUGUCGUGACUAGAGUCCAGUAGGGGAGCGUGGAAUUCCUGGUGUAGCGGUGAAAUGCGCAGAUAUCAGGAGGAACACCAGCGGCGAAGGCGGCGCUCUGGGCUGGAACUGACGCUGAGGAGCGAAAGCGUGGGGAGCGAACAGG